ensembl:lncRNA
GCGUGGGCUGUGUGCAUGCAUGGAGGAAUAAUGUGAGAAGAAUACGUGGUGUGGCCUAAGCAAUAGCUUUAUCCUGGAACCCCCAAAGAAAGUAUAGGAAGUACCAGCAGGAAGAGCAGAGAGGGAAGUUCUUUGUAACCCCAGCAGGAGGAGGACAUCCGUCUCCCAGUAUUUCCAACAAAAAUCUCCUGGAUUGAAUCUCAUUGGCUCAGGAGCCACCAGAAGCCGGAAGAGGCAGAGACGUCUCUUCCUCGAGAGCCCUGGGUGGUACCACAUCUCUGCGGCCACCUCGAUUCCUCUAGAGCCGUGAGAGGAUUUCUGUUGGAGGUCACCUAGCUUGUGGCAAUUUGUUGCUGCAGCCCCAGGAAAAUAAUCCAUCUGCCAGCCAAAAUUUAUGAUAAAACAGAAAUUUUAGAAGUUCUGUAGUCCUGGCUCAGACUGCCAUUCAAGC